CCUCUGGUGGUCCAGUGGUUAAAACUCUGCACUUCCACUGCAGGGGUCCUAGGUUCAAUCCCUGGCCAGGGAA
rnacentral:tRNA from 1 species